UACAGAGGUCUCAAGCGUUGUUCGGAAUUACUGGGCGUAAAGGGCUCGUAGGUGGCCAACUAAGUCAGACGUGAAAUCCCUCAGCUUAACUGGGGAACUGCGUCUGAUACUGGAUGGCUUGAGUUUGGGAGAGGGAUGCGGAAUUCCAGGUGUAGCGGUGAAAUGCGUAGAUAUCUGGAGGAACACCGGUGGCGAAGGCGGCAUCCUGGACCGGCAUUGACGCUGAGGCGCGAAAGCCAGGGGAGCAAACGGG
rnacentral:rRNA from 1 species